rnacentral:rRNA from 1 species
UUUAAUUGAAGAGUUUGAUCAUGGCUCAGAUUGAACGCUGGCGGCAGGCCUAACACAUGCAAGUCGAGCGGCAGCGGGGAGUAGCUUGCUACUCUGCCGGCGAGCGGCGGACGGGUGAGUAAUGCCUGGGAAUUUGCCCAUUCGAGGGGGAUAACAGUUGGAAACGACUGCUAAUACCGCAUACGCCCUAAGGGG